CUACGGGUUGCAGCAGUAGGGAAUUUUGUGCAAUGGGCGAAAGCCUGACGCAGCAACACCGCGUGUGGGAUGAAGCUUUUCGGAGUGUAAACCACUGUCAGUGGGGACGAAAUAUGACGGUACCCACAGAGGAAGCAUCGGCUAACUACGUGCCAGCAGCCGCGGUAAGACGUAGGAUGCAAGCGUUGUCCGGAAUUAUUGGGCGUAAAGCGUUCGUAGGUGGCCUGUCAAGUCUGAUGUUAAAGCCCGGAGCUCAACUCCGGUUCAGCAUUGGAUACUGGCAAGCUAGAGUGCAGGAGAGGCAAGGGGAAUUCCUAGUGUAGCGGUGAAAUGCGUAGAUAUUAGGAGGAACACCGGUGGCGAAAGCGCCUUGCUGGACUGUAACUGACGCUGAGGGACGAAAGCCAGGGGAGCAAAUGGGAUUAGAUACCCUAGUAGUC
rnacentral:rRNA from 1 species